GAUGAACGCUGACAGAAUGCUUAACACAUGCAAGUCUUUGGCGAAGCUGUGCUCGCACAGCCUAGCCAAGGCGGACGGGUGAGUAACGCGUAAGGAACUUGCCCUGCAGUCAGGGAUAACAGACGGAAACGACUGAUAAGACCUGGUAAAGUCAGGCGGACUCAUGUCCAGCCUGAUGAAAAGUGAUGCUGCAGGAGAGCCUUGCGUCCUAUUAGCUUGUUGGUGGGGUAACGGCCCACCAAGGCGAUGAUAGGUAGCCGGCCUGAGAGGGUGGACGGCCACAAGGGGACUGAGAUACGGCCCUUACUCCUACGGGAGGCAGCAGUGGGGAAUAUUGGACAAUGGGGGCAACCCUGAUCCAGCAAUUCUGCGUGCACGAUGAAGGUUUUCGGAUUGUAAAGUGCUUUCAGCAGGGAAGAAAAAAAUGACGGUACCUGCAGAAGAAGCGACGGCUAAAUACGUG
rnacentral:rRNA from 1 species